rnacentral:rRNA from 1 species
UACGUAGGUGGCAAGCGUUGUCCGGAAUUAUUGGGCGUAAAGCGCGCGCAGGCGGCUUUUUAAGUCUGAUGUGAAAGCCCACGGCUCAACCGUGGAAGGUCAUUGGAAACUGAAAGGCUUGAGUACAGAAGAGGAAAGCGGAAUUCCACGUGUAGCGGUGAAAUGCGUAGAGAUGUGGAGGAACACCAGUGGCGAAGGCGGCUUUCUGGUCUGUAACUGACGCUGAGGCGCGAAAGCGUGGGGAGCAAACAGG